UCUCCCUCUGUCCCCUGCCGUCGUUCCCCGCCGUUCCCCAUCGUUCCCCUCCGCUCGCCGCUGUUCCCCGUCGUCCCCCGCUGCUUCCUGCCACUCACCGCCGUCCCCCGCCGCUCCCCGCUGUCCCCCACCGCUCACCACUAUUGCCCGUUGUUCCCUGUCAUUCCAUGCCGCUCGCGAUCGUUCCCCGCCGCUCGCCACCGUCUCUUGUUGUCCCCCGUCAUCUCCUGUCAUCCCCCACCACUCACCACCGUUCCCCGUCGUCCCGCGCCAUCCCCCGCCGCUUGCCGCCGCUCGCCAGCGUGCCCCGCAGCUCGCCGCCGUCCCCCGCCGCUCCCUGCCGUUCCCCAUCGCUCGCUGCCAUUCCCUGUCGUUCCCCGUCAUUCCCCGCCGUUCUCCAUCCCCCACGCUGUACCCCGCUGUCCUCCGUUGUUCCCCGUCAUUCCCCGCCGUUCUCCAUCCCCCACGCUGUACCCCGCUGUCCUCCGUUGUUCCCCGUCGCUCCCCGUCGUCCCCAACACUCACCGCCGUUCCCCGUCGUCCCCCGCUGCUUGCUGCCGCUCACCGCUGUCCCCAGCUGCUCGCCGCUGUUCCCCGCCGUCCCCUGCCACUCCCUGCCGUUCCCAGUCGCUCGCCGCCGUUCCCCGUCAUUCCCCGCCGCUCUCUGUUGUCCCCCGUCACUCGCUGCCGUCCCCCGCCGCUCCCCGCCGUAUCCCCACUGCCGCCGCUCGCCCCCACUUGCCGCCGUCCCCUGUCGUCCCCUGUUGUUCACCGCCGCUUGAUGCUGUCCCCCGUCGUCCCCUGGCAUCCCCCAUCAUCUGCCGCUGCCCCCGCCGCUCUCCACCGUCCCCUGCCGCUCCCUGCCAUUUCCCCGCUGCCGCCGCUUGCCCCCACUUGCCUCCAUCCCCCGUCGUCCCCUGUUGUUCGACGCCACUCCCGCCGUCCCCCGUUGUCCCCUGGCAUCCCCCGUCGUCCGCCGUCGUCCCCCGCUGUCCCCCUCCGCUCCCUGCCGUUCCCCGUCAUUCCCCGUGGCUCUCUGACGUCCCCCGUCGCUCGCCGCCAUUCCCCAUCAUUCCCCGCCGCUCUCCACCGUCCCCCGCCACUCGCUGCCGUCUGCUGCCAUUCCCCAUCGCCUGCUGUUCCUCCGCUGCCACCACUCGCCCCCUCUUGCCGCCAUCCCCCGUAGUCCCCCGCUGUUCACCGCUGCUCGCCGCUGUCCCGUUGUCCCCCGCCGCUCACCACCGUCCCCUGCUGUUCCCCCGCUGCCACCGCUUGCUCCCGCUUGCCGCCGUCCGCCAUCGUCCCUCGUUGUUCCGCGCCGCUUGACGCCGUCUACCGUUGUUCCUCACCGCUCGCCGCUGUCCCCUGUUGUCCGCCAUCGUCCCCCGCUGUCCCCCGCCGCUCCCUGCCGUUUCCCGUCGCUUGCCGCCGUUCCCCGUCAUUCCCCGCCGCUCUGUCGUCCCCCGCUGCUUGCCGCUGUUCCCCGUCGUUCCCCAUCAUUCCCCGCCGCGCUCCGUCGUCCCCCGUUGCUCGCCACUGUCCCCCGC
rnacentral:lncRNA from 1 species